GAUGAACGCUGACGGAAUGCUUAACACAUCAGCAAUUGAUUGGUGGCGGACGGGUGAGUAACGCGUACAUAUCUUACCUCUCAGUUAGGGACAAUAUUCCGACACGAAUGCUAAUACCUUAUACUGAGAGAGAGCUUUCCGUCCCAUUCGCUAGUUGGGGUGGUACCGGCUCACCAAGGCGAUGAUGGCUAGCCGGCCUGGGAGGGUGAUCGGGCACAAGGGGACUGAGACACGACCCUUACUCCUACGGGAGGCAUGAGUGGGGAAUAGUGGACAAUGGACCAAAGUCUGAUCCAGCAAUUCUGGGUGCACGAUGAAUUUUUCGGAAUGUAAAGUGCUUUCAUUUGGGAAGCGGUACCAACAGAAGAAGUGACGGCUAAAUCCGUGCCAGCAGCCGCGGUAAUAC
rnacentral:rRNA from 1 species